AUAGAAUGCCAAAAAAGAAAAAAAAAAUAAUGUGAAAUCACUAAAAUUCCCAGCUGAAGAGGAAGAAUAGGAGGAGAAGCAUUACGGAGCAUUUCAUUUACACCUAUGUUGUCAAAUCACAGCUUAUGUUGCGUACCAAGUUGAUUUGAGGUUUGGCGAGAGUAGUGCAAGCAUUCUAGCGAAGAUCUACUUUGCUGCUUCGCAUUCAGAUGGGCCUUCACAUUCUGUAGAGCAGGUUCUGAUGGUUUUAAUUUCAGAAUGUGUGUAUGUAUGUGAUAAUGGAAGUUUGAAACGAUCAAAUUUGACUAUUUAGAUUGGGAAGAAACUUGAAGUCUAAAUCAGCAAGAAGCACUACUUGACAUCCAGAUGUACCUGAGGUUACCAAAGAAGUCAUGAAAGAGUGUCUCCGCCUACCUCUAGCUCUCAUCAAUGUAGAUCGAACUGUUCCUAGCGCAAAGACUAUCCGAAAGAGGCAGUGUCCACUAAUUUUCAGUCGGUUUGUCUUCCUAGAGUGCUGGCAUUAUGUUUCUGAAGGAUGGUGAUGCGUGUAUUGUCCGGAUGUUGUUUACCAAGUUGAUUCGGGGUUCAAUAAAAGUAAUGCAGGCAUUCUAGCGAAGAUCGAGUUGUUUGCUGCGGCGCAUUUCAGAUGGGCCUCAAAAAUUCGUUACAUUCUGUAGAGCAGGUUCUGAGGGUUUCAAUUUCAGCAUAGUGUUCAAACUUCCAGAAUUAAGCUGCCUAUUACAAGGACUCUCUGAAAGUGGCAACGUCUACUCCGUUUCAGGCAUACACGGAAGUUAUGCCCUUUUGCACACCAUAUCUACCAAUGAUUCCGCUUCAGUCAGUUUGUCUUCCUAGAGAAAUAGCAUUAUGUUUGUGAAGGAUGGUAAUAUGUGGCUUCUUAAAGAGCGACUUUUAGUGGAGCGAAAACUCCUUAUCCUGGUAAUUGGAAGCACUGGGUUUCAUCAAGAAUUAGUAUCUCUUUGGAAAAAUCAUGUUAUGUUGCUUGGUACAACAGUUAACAUCUGUAGAAGAGGUAUUGUGCUUCCCUUGCUCUGUGUCCUAUGGGAGACCUAAUGCGCAGAAAACCUUGUCCAUUCGUCAUUCAGGCAGACAACCAUUUCCGUUGAAGAAGCUUGAUAUUAGUUUCUCAUCGGAAAUUUGAAAGCUUCACAUAAUCAUUUGGGGUUAUUUAUUUCCUGCACUGACUCUGGUGGCACGAGUUUUUAAUGGCACAAAGGCCUCGAGAUACUGGCUUUCAACAUCAAAACUCUCAGCUCUUCUGGAGACAGUUUUCCUCCCUGAACUGAGUUCUCUAUUCGGGUUAUGGAUAUUCAGUUUGGACACUCUCCAUUAGGGAUCCUCCUUGAUGUGUUCAUGAUUUCUAGUUUGUCCUUGCGCUAUUGUUUGCUUUCUUUUAAUUUUCUUUCUCGCUUUAAUCUUUUUCAUUUUGUCUUGCCUCAUUUGUUGCAAUUGGCUUUUUGUUCAUCCGGUUUUCGAUACCAAAUUGGAAAACUUGUAUAAUUUUGAAAAAAAAGCUUAGUUCAAAUGAACUUUGG